GUUUUCGUAGUGUAGUGGUUAUCACGCAUGCUUCACACGCAUGAGGUCCUCGGUUCGAACCCGGGCGGAAACA
rfam:Megaselia scalaris, Durham, NC isolate 2 -- Noor lab, WGS project CAQQ02000000 data, contig: ctg0000180671